UGUAUAUUACUGAAAAUCCAGACUCCGUGAUUGACGAACUACUUAAUAUGAGAAUUGAGCUACGAAAUGUUAAUAAAAAGCUGCAAAAUGUUUUGCUUAAACAAGAUCACAUAUUGCAAGAGCACUGCGAUCUAAAGAAAACAAUGGCCGAAAUGAGUGUUCUAUUAAAAAUGAAUCUUGGCCUAACAACUGACAAAUUUGCAGACCUUUUUCCACUUCAAGAUGAAGAAAAUCUGAAAUACCUAGAAGAGCAGCUGCAAACUGAGCAGAAACCAAAUAUUAUAAUGCACAUGCGAAAACUUCUUUGCGCCAAUAUUACAGAGAAUUUUUCAAAGAUAUUUAGUGAAAAAUUGAUUCUUUCAUACAAUUACGAUGGCAUUCAAAACAAGAAGCCAAUUAAAGUUUAUGAACAUUUCAUAACUGGUCUUUUUGAAGCAUCUGACUUGGAGACUCGUGAAGAAUUUGUUAUUAAUAUCAGAUCUGCGUAUAAAAUCAACAAAAACAGGAUCCAUAAAAGUCGAUCUCGCAAAAUCAAAAAAAGGGCCAGCUAAAAUUGUACUAAGUUACGUACAUAUACAAAAACAAUAUUUAACUCGAAUUUUAGCUGUAUCUAAAGCUUUGUACAUUAUUAUAAAUAAUAUUAAGACCAUAAAUUAAAACUAUUAGGAAAUAAUGUAUAUAA